rnacentral:rRNA from 1 species
AUUGAACGCUGGCGGCAGGCCUAACACAUGCAAGUCGAGCGAGCGGCGGACGGGUGAGUAAUGUAUGGGAAACUGCCUGAUGGCGGGGGAUAACUACUGGAAACGGUAGCUAAUACCGCAUACCAUCAGAUGAACCCAUAUGGGAUUAGCUUGUAGGUGGGGUAAAGGCUCACCAAGCCGACGAUCUCUAGCUGGUCUGAGAGGAUGACCAGCCACACUGGGACUGAGACACGGCCCAGACUCCUACGGGAGGCAGCAGUGGGGAAUAUUGCGCAAUGGGCGCAAGCCUGACGCAGCCAUGCCGCGUGAAUGAAGAAGGCCUUCGGGUUGUAAAGUACUUUCGGUAGCGAGGCGUUAACUACAGAAGAAGCACCGGCUAACUCCGUGCCAGCAGCCGCGGUAAUAC